rnacentral:rRNA from 1 species
CCUACGGGUGGCUGCAGUGAGGAAUAUUGGUCAAUGGACGCAAGUCUGAACCAGCCAUGCCGCGUGCAGGAAGACGGCUCUAUGAGUUGUAAACUGCUUUUGUACGGGGGUAAACGCAGAUACGCGUAUCUGUCUGAAAGUAUCGUACGAAUAAGGAUCGGCUAACUCCGUGCCAGCAGCCGCGGUAAUACGGAGGAUUCAAGCGUUAUCCGGAUUUAUUGGGUUUAAAGGGGGCGUAGGUGGUCUGAUAAGUUAGAGGUGAAAUCUCGAGGCUCAACCUCGGAAUUGCCUCUGAUACUGGUAGGCUAGAGAGCAGUUGCGGUAGGCGGAAUGCAUGGUGUAGCGGUGAAAUGCUUAGAGAUCAUACAGAACACCGAUUGCGAAGGCAGCUUACCAAGCUACCUCUGACGUUGAGGCACGAAAGCGUGGGGAGCAAACAGGAUUAGAUACCCGGGUAGUC